GACGAACGCUGGCGGCGUGCUUAACACAUGCAAGUCGAGCGGUAAGGCCCUUUCGGGGGUACACGAGCGGCGAACGGGUGAGUAACACGUGGGUGACCUGCCCUCAGCUCUGGGAUAAGCCUGGGAAACCGGGUCUAAUACUGGAUAUGACUCCAUGACGCAUGUUGUGGGGUGGAAAGCCUUGUGCGGCUGAGGAUGGGCCCGCGGCCUAUCAGCUUGUUGGUGGGGUGANGGCCUACCAAGGCGACGACGGGUAGCCGGCCUGAGAGGGCGACCGGCCACACUGGGACUGAGACACGGCCCAGACUCCUACGGGAGGCAGCAGUGGGGAAUCUUGCGCAAUGGGCGAAAGCCUGACGCAGCGACGCCGCGUGAGGGAUGACGGCCUGUGU
rnacentral:rRNA from 1 species